AUCUGGGUUAAAGCAAGCCAGUUACAACGGCUUAUAAGAACGGGAAGGACUGGGCACUGGCUUAAUCAUGGAAAGGAACACUGCCUGGUUGGUGUGAAAGGAGAUUGUGAGAAUUUUAACAGAGGUCUGGACUGUGAUGUUCUAGUCGCUGAGGUGAGACAGACAAGUCGCAAACCAGAUGAAAUCUAUGGAGUGAUUGAAAGGCUUGCACCAGGCACAAGGAAAAUAGAACUGUUUGAAAGACAGCACAACGUUCAACCGAACUGG